rnacentral:rRNA from 1 species
AGUGAACGCUGGCGGUAGGCCUAACACAUGCAAGUCGAACGGCAGCACAGUAAGAGCUUGCUCUUACGGGUGGCGAGUGGCGGACGGGUGAGGAAUACAUCGGAAUCUACUUUUUCGUGGGGGAUAACGUAGGGAAACUUACGCUAAUACCGCAUACGACCUACGGGUGAAAGCAGGGGAUCUUCGGACCUUGCGCGAUUGAAUGAGCCGAUGUCGGAUUAGCUAGUUGGCGGGGUAAAGGCCCACCAAGGCGACGAUCCGUAGCUGGUCUGAGAGGAUGGUCAGCCAAACUGGAACUGAGACACGGUCCAGACUCCUACGGGAGGCAGCAGUGGGGAAUAUUGGACAAAGGGCGCAAGCCUGAUCCAGCCAUACCGCGUGGGUGAAGAAGGCCUUCGGGUUGUAAAGCCCUUUUGUUGGGAAAGAAAAGCAGCAGGUUAAUACCCCGCUGUUCUGACGGUACCCAAAGAAUAAGCACCGGCUAACUUCGUG